GAAUCUGUAAAAGUAAAUAAUUUGCACAUGUCCACACUGACUGUAUAGGUUACAGGCGGCGUGGCUCAGUUUCUUCUGUCAUUUUUCCUGGUAUUUUUUUUCUCACAAAGCCAUUUUAUCAUUGAAGUUAUAAGAGUUGCAGUUCUUCUUCUGGUGAUUUUUCCACAUGCUCAGCACUCCUGUGCCAUUGUGCAAAGUCAUUGCAAAUCAAAAAGAAAUGAUUUGCUUACAGCUCGAGUUGUUAGGAGAAGUGUUAACAUCUUUGGAUCGUUGUAGAAACAAGUACUUGAAGAGUCUGAGAGGAGAGAAAAACUUACAGAAUUUUCGCAGACAUCACCGAAGCUUGACAGUUGUAGAAAUUGCCCCCGUCUGUCUAAGCAGCCUUCAUGUCCAGACUUUAGAAUGGCCCAGUCAAUGCCAGUCUCUUUCUGCUCCUUCUCUUGACAUGUCCUUCUGAUAUUUUCUAGAUAGAUGUAUAAGGUUUAGUAAUCCCCAGGUCUCCCAGUGUGCACCCCACCUGCACAUAUACACACCAGACGGAACACCAAAAUCAAACCUUGGAGGUUUCCUGAAGCAGUUAGCUUUUACAAUCCACACUUCUUUUGAGACUGAUUUUAUUCAUCAUCCUUUUGAUGAAUUUUGACUUUUUUUGUUACACAGCUGUCAACUCAGUUGUUUAACGAGUUACUUUACUUGUUCAGAGAAUUGAGUUUUCUGGAUCUUACAGCUGUAGCUUGUAUUGGUGUCAAGGUCAAAAUCUUUUAAUUUUAUUGAUGGAGCUGGUGUUAUAACCGGAGGGCUUCCCUCAUGUUGUAUAUUUAAAUCCUGUCAUAGUGCCUAAAAACUGUCAUUUCUUGGCUUCCCGUCCAGCAAAUAUUUUUAUUAAAUUCCUUGGCUAUAUCUAGUUUACUUUUCCUUAGGAGAAAUAUUACAGAAUACCACCAGCCUCAUGAUCACAAAUAGAUUGUUGCCAUGGCAACCUGGCAGGGUUUUUUUUUUUUUUUUAAUAUUAGAAUUUUCUUGUUGAAGCAAAACUUAUGACAUUGGGGACCCUUUCCUGGUGGUGAAAACUUCCUGCUGUCUCUUAGAGUUGGAAUUAUGCUGGGUCCAGGCAGAGAACAGCUCUGAUUUAGGAAGCAAACAGUUCAUUUACACACUUAGCUAAUCAGAGGCUCUGUUACUGUGUGAGGAGACCUGUCCUUUCUUGGCUGUAGACACACACUCUGCAGGCAUUGUCUUUUCCACAGUCCGACACCAGUGAGGUCUGCAAGAGCGUCGAAGUUCCAUCUCUGUCUCUGGCAUCACAGAGCUUGGCUGCUUCCUCACUGCAGGAGGUCUUAGAAUAUUGCUUGGGGUCCCUGAGACUGGUUUUCAGAGUUGUAAGUAGGAAUAUGAACCUCUGCCUUAUGGGCUUGUUUUAUUAAAUUAUUGCUUUUUAUUUAUAGAGAGCACAGCAAUAGUAAAUAUUCAGCAUAUUGAAUUCAUGUCUCAUCUCACUUAACCUCCAUAAGUGACUGUCUGAUGUUUGUUACCAGUUGCUGUGACAAAAUACACCAACAAAAGCUACUUAGAGGACAGAGGGUCAUUGCAGUUCAUAAUCCCAGCUUCCAGCUUAUCGUUAGGGGGAGUCAAGGUGGCAAGAACUCACAGAGGUGUCCAUAGUCAGAGCAGAGGACGGUCACAGAGGUGUCCAUAGUCAGAGCAGAGGACGGUCACAGAGGUGUCCAUAGUCAGAGCAGAGGACGGUCACAGAGGUGUCCAUAGUCAGAGCAGAGGGUCACAGAGGCGUCCAUAGUCAGAGCAGAGGGUCACAGAGGCGUCCAUAGUCAGAGCAGAGAGGACGGUCACAGAGGCGUCCAUAGUCAGAGCAGAGGACGGUCACAGAGGUGUCCAUAGUCAGAGCAGAGGACGGUCACAGAGGUGUCCAUAGUCAGAGCAGAGGAUGGUCACAGAGGUGUCCAUAGUCAGCAGAGGACGUCACAGAGGCGUCCAUAGUCAGAGCAGAGGAUGGUCACAGAGGUGUCCAUAGUCAGAGCAGAGGAUGGUCACAGAGGUGUCCAUAGUCAGAGCAGAGGAUGGUCACAGAGGUGUCCAUAGUCAGAGCAGAGAGGAUGGUCACAGAGGUGUCCAUAAUCAGAGCAGAGAAGAUGGUAUGUGCAUGCUUGUUCUUAGUUCCAUCUCUCCACGCUUACACAGGUCAGGAUAUCCUUCUCAGGGAAUGGUACUGUCCACAGCUAAGAUGGGGAUUUCAACAUUUUUGAACUUAAUCUGACAGUUCCCCACAGACUUACCCAUAGGCCGACGUUAUCUAGACAAUCCUUCACUGAGCGCCUCUUUUUAGGGGAUUUUAGAGUAUGUCAAGUUGACAGUUAAAACUAACCAUCUCAAUAACAAUAUGAAAGGCACAGCAUUUUUGAUUUACAUGUGAAGGUGCUUAUGGGGAUAGCUAAACCGAUUUGUCCACAUCACAGUUACUCACUCAAUGCCCUUCUGGGGGCAGACUUUCCAGGGACAGAUCUGGGCAUGAAAUGAAGAACUGAGAACCUUAAACGGCAUUGAUGCUAGCGGACGCUGUUACAGUAGACUCGAAGAGAGCCAUGGACACCAACC